GGACGGUUGGAUUCAACCCGAAACAUAACCCCCUCUUCGUCUUCGCGUGAACUCUCUCUCUCACCUGGAUCUUUGUUCCGACUGAGCUGUCAAAACACUUUCCCAAAUUGUUAUAUAAAAUAAAAUCAACCAAAUUUGUUUGUAUAUUCAAUCUGUUUUCGUAUUAUUUAUUUAUUUAUUUGGGGUGAAUGUAACUGGGAUUUGAGCGGUAGAUGAUGAGGGCUGUGGAUGGUUCGAAGUGAAAAAGGUGUAAUUCAUUUCUUUCUCGAUUGCCCCAUUUUCUUCCAUUACCAACCUUAACAUCCGGUAUGCAAAGAAAAGUUUAGGCAGCGGCUUUGGUGCUUUCUUUUUGAGAGCAUAGGAUAGAAGAAACACUUGAAGCUGCUACCUGCUAAAACCCCUUGAGGCCAAGCUCGAGAGGUUCCUCCAGUGGUUACAGGUUAAUGGACCGGAGCUACAUGGCUGCAAGAUCAAGUACUCUAAUUCCAGCAAAGGGUUUGACAUUUUUUCGUCUAGUGAAGUUUCUGAUGAUGGGGUUUUAUUGGUUGUUCCUCUGGAUUUAGCAAGAACUCCUAUGAGAGUGUUGCAAGAUCCUCUUCUUGGACCAGAGUGUAGAGCAAUGUUUGAAGAAGGAGAUGUAGAUGAUAGGUUGUUGAUGUUUUUGUUUCUGAUAGUGGAGUGUGUCUGCAAGAAUUCUUCUUGGAAGCCUUAUGUAUAGAAUGCACUUUGUUGAAUGAUCAAUUACAAAUUUUCUCGUAUAUCUUUUGGCUGAGCUUCACUUGGGAUAACAUCAGGUAUCCUGAUAUGCUUCCAACUACUUUUGGCAAUCCAUUUUGGUGUACGAAUGAUGAGCUUUUGGAGCUAGAAGGGACAACAUUGUGUCGAGCAACUGAAUUACAGAGAUGUUUGCUUUGAAGAUUUCCUUUGGGCGUUGACUCAAAGCAUUGGUCUUCUCUCUUAUACAUUCUUGGCAUGGACAGGCCAUGACAGAAUAGUAGUACCGAUAGUGAGCUUUGUUACGCAAGCUUCUGGUUGUGUGUGUAUUCCUUUCUUUCCUGUUUUCUUUUCUGUGUGAUAGACGUGAAACAGUAUGCAAAAUGUGGCUUAUUGUUGUAUGUGCUAGUAAAUGGAUGACCAGGAUAUUACCCAUGAGGUUGUAGUCCAGCGGUUGGGGGACUAGUUGGGCUCCCUCCUUGAGGUCAGGGGUUCUACACUCAGUGAGGUACCUAUCUAGAAAUUUAUUGCUAGAGUUUCCUGCCCAGAAGAUUGUAGGGUUCGGCAGUGGGCCCCAGUUUGGAAGUUGAGUCAGCAAAGCUGACAAAUUGGAGUUAUGGGAUUAAAAAUAAUAAUAAUAAAAAUGGAUGACCAGGAUAUUUGAUGUGCCAUUGCAAUGCCAUAUUUAUACUAGCUUGAGGUUAUGACCUUUGGGUUUAAAGGAAGGCUGAAACCUGAACUUUCAAGAUCUUGAUGGAGGAGCAUAUGCACUAUGUUUGGAGAUCUUAAUGUUAUUUUUUUAUUUAUUUUUGGUUUUUGUUUCCAUGGGCAGUUGAAAUGCUGCUUUUUUAAUUAUCCUCAUUCUCAAUUACUUGAUGUUACUCGUACAUUUAUAUCUAGUAUUAACAGCUCAUGUCCAUUGCAGGUGGAUUGUGAAUUCAACACAUCAAAUGAGGCGUUAGAAUUAAUGCAUGGGACGGAACAUUUCAUGUCUAAUCUUUCCCUGCUGUUGCGGUGGUCCCCAUAUUCAACCGAGGCUGAUUUUCUGAAGAAGGAACCCAUUGAAUUGAUCAUCAUGAACGCUAGAGAUGCACACCAGUUCCUCUAUAACAAUGCCACUUUGAGAAGGGAAAUUGCACCUUGAGAACAUUCUUUCCUUGUCUGUUAAAUUGGAUGGGUAUGCUCUGAAUCUAUAAAGUACUGAUUCUUCAAAUAUUGUCGGUAUGGGGUAUCAGAUACCAAUAUGAUCCCCAUACACCCCGACCAGUACGUGGUGGAUGUGGCCAAGAUUUGGUUACUGUACGAUCUGUUUAAUGACAUCAGAGCUCAUGGCGCAAAGGUUAUUAUCUAUAGUUUAUGGUCCAAUGUGGAGCUAGACUUUGAUACUGAUCCUGAGUGCAGGAUAUUCGAAGAAUUAGUGGGGAUACCAAAAAGUUAACGCUAGACCCCAAUGGAAGACAGUAAAUGAAGAGCACAUUGCUAACCAUUUCCAUUAUCCUCUCCGGGUAUACUUGUCCAUCUUGUACUUGCGGAUACCCGAAACCUGUCAGAUAGUACUUACUUCGUGUGCGAGUUGUUGAUCAUCAUUAACAUUGCCAAUGAUCUAAAAUUUCCUUAAUUUAUCUAGUAUAAACCACAAACUGGAGGUUUUGUGGAGGUUGUACCAAAUUUUGAAACAGUUGUUUCCCAUUGCAGGCAGAUGAACUUAAGUUGUUCUUAUUUGAACUACACUGCUAUCUCUUUACUCUCUGCUUUAACGAUGCAGUGGCUUAACCAUGCAGGGUCAAGUUAUUAUGACUAUUGAAUUUCUAAAAGAAGCACCUCGUGUCUGUAUCCAUAGCUUCAAUGUUUAUCACAAAAAUCGUCUAAUACUGGCUUGCUGGGAGUUCUUUUCUGCAACAACAGCAAAACAGAGAAGAUACACAAGGGUAGAGAGUCAAAGAGCGAUAGAGAGAUCUAUAGCAAGGUUUUGGGGAUUGGCAUUGGGAUUUCAUAAAUUUUGUGGCAUAAGAAGAAAGCUGCAACAUAGACUCUUCUUUAAACGAAACAUUUCCACUGGCAAUAUAUGCACAGUUAAAGUUGAGCCACCAAUGGCAAUCGGGUAGAAGAUCUGAAGAUCUUAAUAAAUGAAAUUGAAAA